CUCGUUAACCUAUAAUUUUUGCAAACUAUCACGUUACAUAAAAGAAUUUAAUAUUUGACUUGGGCGGUAAUAACCGCCAUUACGAAUUUGUUCGCGAAGUGUCGGCGCUUAAAGAAAGAGUGAUUAGUAGGAGUAAAAAUAAAAAGCGCAUAGUUACAGCAUGUAACCUGUUGCUACUAAUAAUUAAGCGGUGUAUGCUUAACAUAAGCGGUUUCCCAAACGCCGUUAAAAUUACACGCUUCAUCAAAAGAGCCUGGUGGUUAACGAAGCUUUAAUCUCUGGAUAUUUCCCGUUACUGUAAAUACAGAUUUUAUAUAAUACAUUCACCGUUUUAUUUUUCGGUAAGGGGCGAUGAAACUUUUAAUCUCCAGGAAGAAAUCCGAGAAACCGAACCGGAUCCCAUGACACGCGAAUAAAAAACAAACUGCUUUAUCGACGAUGAAUAUACCCCGUUAGAUUUGUAUAUAAUGCCAAGUUGACGGCGCUUUGCUUCAGUGAAUGUCUCUUUUUAUCUUUUUUCCCUGUUCCAGAAUAUUGGUUUUAGGUUUCGUCUCUGUACACGUUCAUUUACCUUCCACGGAAACAAAGAAUGAUAAAUAUAGGACGCGACUGGCUCUAUAUUUCCUACGAAGCAACUGGUCGCUGAAAGAAACCAUGAGGGCAUUGUUUUUUGUGAAAGGUAUUCCGAUGUUCUAAAACAAUGAUAGUGAAGGGAACAUUGAAUCGGAUUAAACUGAACCGUGUCCAAUUAAGUCGCAUCGAAUUUUGUAAGCGUGUUUUGAUAUUCGAUACUCUGGCCAGUGAUCGGCUAAUGUCGGGUAAAGUCGAGUGGAUACGAACAAGUUUUUGCGAUGCAAAUUAAAAUUUUCUGCCCAUGCAUUUUCAAGCAAACAAUUUUGACAUUAAAUAUUAAUGAAUAAUGUUUGUAGGUGGCGCUAUAAAAACAUUUCAAUUGAAGGAUUCUGUAUAAAGUGAUAAAUAAUAGGGUAAGGAGCACAGGAGACCACAUUGCGGUUGUAACAGUACGAAGAUUUAAGAGCAACUAGACUGAACAGUCGUUAUUGGAGCAUUAAUAAAAAGCCACUCUGUUAUUGUUCUCCGAUAAAGCCACGACAGUUAUGCGAUUCAGCGUGGGCCUCGUAGUCCGAUUCGUGGAUCGAUAACGCGAAAUCUCGUUCACGUUUCUCCUGGGGCACUUUCCAUCUGCGUCAUGAGAAACCACUUUAUUUAUACUCAGAAAAUUCUUUUUCCAUCGCGGCCCACAAGUGGUGCUCGCGCGAGCUCGUUCACUAGCACAUUCCAAUAUGCAAGCGUAGGCUCCUUAUAUUUAUGUAUCCUUACCGACAGAGUACAAUUAUAAAAGUAGAGAGUAAAUGAUACUGAACACAGGAUCUCAGAUUCCAUCAAUAACCAAUUGGAGAAUACGAAUCAAAGGAUUACGAAAGAGUUAUUCGCAUAAGCUAUAAGUAUUCAUGAUAUGUACGCGCACGUGGUUCUUCAGGAUACCGGUCCGAGUGUCGUGAACUGUUACGCGGCCCGCAAUCAAUAUUAGCAUGUCCCAUACGUAGGAUGGUAUUUAUAAAAAAUAAUGCACUUUGCGUUCAACGUUUUUUCAACUAAUGAAAUACAACUUUGUUUAAAAGUUCAGUGCUUAACAUUAACCUUACAUUUAAUUUGUACAGAUGGUAGAACGAGAAGACUACGUGGAAAAUUAGCGACGUUAAAAAAUAAUUUACUUACCAAACGUACCGAAACUAUUGAAGUAUCAAAAGAGCUAUUACUGAAAACGCUGACGCUAAAUAUGCUGGAGUAGGGGCUUGAAAGGUUUGAAAAGCUUUGCAGAAAGCAUCUCUGAUAAAGGUGCUCUAACUGAAAAUCGAGGCCAAGCUAGAGGGAGUGAUUUCCAUAGCUUUUGCAAUGAACCAACAAUAUAUCCCAGUCGCCUGGUGGCGAGCUGGUUGCCAGGCAGCGGGUUUCGUCCAGAAACCGAGGGAAACGAGUUGCGUGAAUCGUCAUUUAUUGAGUAACGAUUACGAAACGAUGCAGUGCAGAGAAAGAAAAUUUCUCCCUUGCAAGACGUUGCACGAUUUUUAGGUUGACGAGUGUGCAAGGUUUAUGAACGUUCCGUGAAAUUCUACGUUAGAAAAACGUCGAUUCCGGUUCGGAUACAGGUGCCGCUAUUACGAGAUUAAUAAGCGUGAUCGUAAAUUAUCGCGAGGCACGAUACGAGUUGCGCGCCACUGAUUUAAUGGACGGCAGUUGGCUGGUGUUGGUAAUCGCGGUGAAAAAUCUUCCCUUUGAACGAGGCUGAAUCCGCCGUAAUUUUGUCGUCAGCGACGCCAUCCGUGCCCUUUAAUUACGAUUCGCUCGUCGAUCCUGAAGAAUCGACGCGAAAAUGCGGUCCCGAAGAAAAACUUUUCAAGGUUCAACGACCUUUUUCCCUUGUGACGGCUUAGCCGGGAUUCGCGAAACUUUGGGGCUAUUUUUAGAUUUGUGGAAUGAAAUUUCAAGCUGAGUCUUGCUAUCCAUAAACAAGGAUAAUUAGGAUAAUGAUUAGACUACACAGGAUAAAGAUUAUACAGGUUAGUCUAAUUAUUUGUCUUCAAGGUCGUUCAUUUUUAACUUCUCAUGACUUCGAAACUUAUUAAUUUACUUUUACAAGUUUCAUUAAUUUAUUUUUACGAUAUAAACCAGUGAAUUGUAAAAUAAUUUGUGAAUUUGUUUUCAGUGGUCACCGCAGGUGAAAAUCAAUGAAUCAAGGUUCGCCUAUUUUCAAACGGAGAAGCAAAACUAGCUUAUUAGCGUACGAAAUAACGCCGCAAUGUACCGUAAGCCGACGGAGAGCCUUCACGCAUCGUGGAUCGAAGCGAACAGGACACGGAGAACAGGCACGAUCGAUUCGUGGCUCGUUACGGCGUCUGGUCGAAAGUUCGAACGAGCCCUGUGCAUUAAUAUUUCCGUUAUUGCGCGCACAAGCACCGAGGUUAUGCCUUUCACACAGCUAAACAAUCAUACUGAAAACGAUCGUUACUCUUUCAAUCAAUCACGAAAUCAAUUUCAACGAAUUAGCACCUUCAACGCUGUACUAAAGUUUCAAGCAAUUUUACCUCAGGCCUCUAUUAACUUAUUAUGAGUCAAGAUUUUAUUACACCGCCUGAAACCUUUGGGAUAUGAAAAUAUUUUCUAUUGAUCAGUUUGGAGAAGGUAGAAGGCCUCAAACAUUAACUGUAAUUUUACAUAAGAAUAGGUCAGAUACUUGUCACUGAUGUAAUUACUGAGAUCUUCAAGAUUAUGUACUAUGGUGAGCGCGUAAACUUCCGCAGAGUAAAUUAUGGUGUACGAGAAAAAAGUCCCACUUGUUGCUCUCUCGUUGAUAAAUUUUCUUGCAACUAAAUGUCUUGAAUAUUUGAUCAAGUGUGUAUAACAGUGUUGGACAUUUUUGUAAAGAGCGUAAUGACUCGUUAAUUACUCCAUGCAUUAUGCAUAGAAAUUCGAUCUCGAUUGCUCUGUCGUGUGAACUUGAAAUUCGAUACCUCAGAUUUCGUAACAGAGUAAGAUUGCUUUUUAUGGACCUGUACACUUUACAUUUAGAAUCAUAUUUUAUAAUUGAGAAAUGAAUUCUCAAACCAUCUACUUAAUUGCAAAGAUGUUUUAAUUUUUAAAUAGGCUUAACUACUAAAAAGUUGAUCAAAGGUUUUCUAUAAUCUGAUCAAUAAAUAUAGCUGAUCAAUGAAUAUGGUUGAUACGUAUAA
rnacentral:lncRNA from 1 species